CCUACGGGCGGCAGCAGUGGGGAAUAUUGGACAAUGGGCGAAAGCCUGAUCCAGCCAUGCCGCGUGUGUGAAGAAGGCCUUCGGGUUGUAAAGCACUUUCAGUGGGGAAGAAAGCCUUGGGGCUAAUACCCUCGAGGAAGGACAUCACCCACAGAAGAAGCACCGGCUAACUCCGUGCCAGCAGCCGCGGUAAUACGGAGGGUGCGAGGUUAAUCGGAAUUACUGGGCGUAAAGCGCGCGUAGGCGGUCUGAUAAGCCGGUUGUGAAAGCCCCGGGCUCAACCUGGGAACGGCAUCCGGAACUGUCAGGCUAGAGUGCAGGAGAGGAAGGUAGAAUUCCCGGUGUAGCAGUGAAAUGCGUAGAGAUCGGGAGGAAUACCAGUGGCGAAGGCGGCCUUCUGGACUGACACUGACGCUGAGGUGCGAAAGCGUGGGUAGCAAACAGGAUUAGAUACCCCAGUAGUC
rnacentral:rRNA from 1 species